rnacentral:rRNA from 2 species
AACUCCGUGAUAGCUGGUUCUCCCCGAAAUGCAUUUAGGUGCAGCGUCGCGUGGUCCCUGGUGGAGGUAGAGCUACUGGAUGGCCGAUGGGCCCUAUGGGUUACUGACGUCAGCCAAACUCCGAAUGCCAUUAGGUGUAGCGCGGCAGUGAGACUGCGGGGGAUAAGCUUCGUAGUCGAGAGGGAAACAGCCCAGAUCAUCAGCUAAGGCCCCUAAGCGUACGCUAAGUGGGAAAGGAUGUGGAGUCGCGGUGACAACCAGGAGGUUGGCUUAGAAGCAGCCAUCCUUGAAAGAGUGCGUAAUAGCUCACUGGUCAAGUGGUUCUGCGCCGACAAUGUAGCGGGGCUCAAGCGUACCGCCGAAGCUGUGGCAACAACACGCGUUGCUGGCACCAGGAACUGGAUGUCGGUGUGUUGUUGGGUAGGGGAGCGUCCUGCACGAGGUGAAGCCUGGAGGGAACUUCUGGUGGAUUGUGUGGGAGUGAGAAUGCAGGCAUGAGUAACGAAUCUGCGGUGAGAAUCCGCAGCGCCGAUUGACUAAGGGUUCCAGGGCUAGGUUUAUCCGCCCUGGGUUAGUCGGGUCCUAAGGCGAGGCCGACAGGCGUAGUCGAUGGACAACCAGUUGAUAUUCUGGUACCGCGUUAUGACCGCCCAUGCUGAAGUCAUUGUGCUAACCAAUUUGCUCACGCCGCUUCCAUGCCUUCGGGCGUGUUGGUGUGUGUGGGUCUUGGGGCCCCGGUGAUGGUAGGCAAGCGUGUUAACAGGGGUGACGCAGACAGGUAGCUGCAGUGCGCCGAUGGUUGUGCGUAUUUAAGGUUGUGGCCCGUUCCUCAGGUAAAUCCGGGGGGCAUUGUGGGUGAGAACUGAUGAGGGACACACGCGUGUGUGGACUUGUGGUGAUCCUAAGCUGCCGAGAAAAGCCUCGACGUGAGGGCAUAACGCGCCCGUACCCUAAACCGACUCAGGUGGUCAGGUAGAGUAUACCGAGGCGUUCGAGUGAAUCGUGGUUAAGGAACUCGGCAAAAUUCCUCCGUAACUUCGGGAUAAGGAGGACCCCGUGACUUCCCUCCGUCAUGCGCGGUGGUGGGGUUGUGGGGUCGCAGAGAAUAGGGAGAAGCGACUGUUUAUCAAAAACACAGGUGCGUGCGAAGCCGUAAGGCGAUGUAUACGCACUGACGCCUGCCCGGUGCUGGAAGGUUAAGAGGAACCGUCAACAACCCCUUUGUGGUUGUGAAGCGGUGAAUUUAAGCCCCAGUAAACGGCGGUGGUAACUAUAACCAUCCUAAGGUAGCGAAAUUCCUUGUCGGGUAAGUUCCGACCUGCACGAAUGGCGUAACGACUUCUCCGCUGUCUCAACCGCGAACUCGGUGAAAUUGCAGUACGAGUAAAGAUGCUCGUUUCGCGCAGAAGGACGGAAAGACCCCGGGACCUUUACUAUAGCUUGGUAUUGGUGUUCGCUUGGACUUGUGUAGGAUAGGUGGGAGACUGUGAAGGCGCCGCGCCAGCGGUGGUGGAGUCGUCGUUGAAAUACCAUUCUGGUUCAAGCGGUCACCUCAACCUAGACCCGUGAUCCGGGUUGGGGACAGUGCCUGGUGGGUAGUUUAACUGGGGCGGUUGCCUCCUAAAAAGUAACGGAGGCGCUCAAAGGUUCCCUCAGCCUGGUUGGUAAUCAGGUGGCGAGUGCAAGUGUACAAGGGAGCUUGACUGUGAGACCGACGGGUCGAGCAGGUGCGAAAGCAGGAACUAGUGAUCCGGCCAUGGCACGUGGGUGCGUGGUCGCUCAACGGAUAAAAGGUACCCCGGGGAUAACAGGCUGAUCUUGCCCAAGAGUCCAUAUCGACGGCAUGGUUUGGCACCUCGAUGUCGGCUCGUCGCAUCCUGGGGCUGGAGUUGGUCCCAAGGGUUGGGCUGUUCGCCCAUUAAAGCGGUACGCGAGCUGGGUUCAGAACGUCGUGAGACAGUUCGGUCCCUAUCCUCUGUGCGCGCAGGAAACUUGAGAAGGGCCGUCCCUAGUACGAGAGGACCGGGAUGGACGAACCUCUGGUGUGCCAGUUGUACCGCCAGGUGCAUGGCUGGUUAGCUACGUUCGGAAGGGAUAACCGCUGAAAGCAUCUAAGCGGGAAGCCUGCUUCAAGAUGAGGUUUCCACGCCCCCCCCGUGGGGUGAGAGGCCCCCGCCAGACUAGCGGGUCGAUAGGCCAGAGGUGGAAGCACAGCAAUGUGCUCGAGAGCCGACUGGUACUAAUUGGCCAACACUAAACAAC